CGGUCCCAAGGUGCUUGAAAACCCUCCUGUCCCUCAGAAACAAAAUGUUCCACCACCAUCAAACCCUCAGGUCUAUGUGCCUCCUCCUCAGAACCCUCAAGUUUACCAACCGCCUCAGGACCCACAAAAGACCUACACUGGCUAUGGUACCGGUCCCAAGGUGCCUGAAAACCCUCCUGUCCCUCAGAAACAAAAUGUUCCACCACCAUCAAACCCUCAGGUCUAUGUGCCUCCUCCUCAGAACCCUCAAGUUUACCAACCGCCUCAGGACCCACAAAGGACCUACACUGGCUAUGGUACCGGUCACAAGGUGCCUGAAAACCCUCCUGUCCCUCAGAAACAAAAUGUUCCACCACCAUCAAACCCUCAGGUCUAUGUGCCUCCUCCUCAGAACCCUCAAGUUUACCAACCGCCUCAGGACCCACAAAAGACCUACACUGGCUAUGGUACCGGUCCCAAGGUGCCUGAAAACCCUCCUGUCCCUCAGAAACAAAAUGUUCCACCACCAUCAAACCCUCAGGUCUAUGUGCCUCCUCCUCAGAA